ACUUUCCUCUUAAGUGUCAGUUUCUUGAGCUGCUGUAAAGGCAAAUUCCUCUCAUAGGGAUCAACAUAGCUCUAUUUUAAAUGAGUUACUUUUGUACAAUUCUGAGGAACGUUCAGUUUCCCUCAGCAUUCCACGACGUUGGGGGGAAAUUAUAAAAUGUCUAGUUCUGUCCAAUUACAAUUCACUUCGUGCUGCCAUGGUUUGGAUACUUUCCGUUUUAUUUUGUAGUUCUCUCUUCCUGUGUCAUCUUUCACUUUCCACAUCUUCCUUUUGUCUGUUUUUCUGCCCUUCUUCUCUGCGCACCUGUGUCUCAUUAGUUAAUCGCCCCCCCGAGUAUUGAAGCCAGUGUUUUCCCCUCACUCGUCGGUGGUUCGUCUGUUUUGCUCCCAGGUUUCCGAGUCCUGUCGUCCCUCGUGUUACUCUGGAUCUGAACUUCCCAAGGAAGAAGAGUAUGGUAAAGCCUUUAAGGAUAGGUGAUGCCAAACACUGGUGCCAAAAAGACAUCGAUCCAAGGUCAUCAUGUGUCAAAGUCCAGACACAGCAGAGGUCCCCCGAGGGGACAGCCGCUCGGUCCCAGCUGGGAAAAUCUGAGCACGAGGAAGAAAGGUUGGACGGGCGACAGGCAGCAGGCUGUGAAUCAGUGAGCAGCAGCUGGGGAGUCCCAUCACAGCCAUCACCUCCAGCUGUUCAGCAUCACGCUCUGUUACUAACAGACACGCUAUACACAAGAACCACAACAACGAUCACACUGAGCAGUCAACAGCUGCAAAGCCCAGGAGAGCAGCCACUUGUUAGGUUUUCCAGGAAUUCAUGUCAUACUGGUUUACGUCUGACAGUCGGCACAAGUGAGGACGGAGGACACUUAAUGUCCACCUAUCAGGUCUGUUCAUGGAUCCAGAAACAGAAAAACUGGUGGUGGGGAUGAUCUAUAUUGUAAUCAAUAGUAUGAAACCAUAAUGUAAGAUGCAGUUAUACCUUACACUCCCUGCUACUGAAGGGCAUUUAGUUAUUUUCAGCUUUAAUCAACCUUCAUCAUCAGUGAACUGCAGCAUGGACAGGACGCAAAUCCAUAAGCCACCACUUAUAAAAUAUCAGCAGUGAACCCUCCUCCUCCUCUUCUUCCUUAUCGAUGAGCAGGAAAAUAGGAAGAAAGGGGAUCUCCAGCACAACAGGUACAAGAUACACAUCCAUCCACAUCUGACACCAGAGAUGGGUUACAGUCUCCCUCUAUCUGCUCUGAUGCAACCAAAGCUCCACUCUUGAGAUUACAAUAAAGCUACUUGCAGGACAACUAAGCAAACUCUGUCCUGAUGAAGUCAGUACGUGGCGCUUAUUAAACGCAGAGUACAGUCGGUGCUGCAGCAUGACAUCAUGGUGAAGUUGACCUUUGACUGUUUGGAUAUAAAACAUCACGCUUUAUCCUUUCAGACAUUCGAAAUAAAAAUUUAUGUCAUAAUCA